CCGCCACUUUGUUCUGAAGGCUGGAUUGAACGUUAUCCCCUCGUUAGUAGCUCCUUGAAUGCUGUAUCCAUAGCUCUGCAUUUUCGGUCUUUCUCAUAUUUGAUAUAUCUGAUCUUGGUGUGAUGUGGAACAGAACCUAACUCUUUGGGGAGCUCAUAUUGUUUUUGGACAUUGAAGGAGAUGACAUCCAGAGAGACCUGCAGAAAUCCACCAUGGGCAUAUAUGUCAUCAACAAGGAGGGUGGAGAAAUUGGAGCUCAUGAUGACAUUGGCAUUUAUGUUGAAGGAGUAAUCAUUCUGGACAACAUUGGAUCUGUAGCCCAAGCAUGUGCAAUGAUGCUGGGAGUCAUGUAUGUACUGAACAUGGCUUACCCCAAAGAGCUGAAAUACUCCUAUGAAUUCAUUCAGAAAGUGCUCUUGCAAAUGGAUGGUGAAAGGCUUUCCCCCAAAGUCCUUGGACUAAAGAACAAAAUCAUUGCUGGACUGGAGGAUUUCUUCAGCCGCUCUUGUGAAUCAAGGCGUUACGGUGUUUCGAACUGAAAAACAGAGUGAAUGGUGGACUGUAAUAUUCACACAGCCACUGGUGUGAACAUUUAAAACUGUACAAUGGAUUUUGUGGAAUAUUCACCUGAAAUAAAAAUUGCAAUCCUGGAAAUAAGAGCACAAAAUUCAUCCAUCCACUACCGCCAUAUGAAUAUUAGAAGUUAAGCGCCUUGAGAGGAACAGUUGGUGGUGGCUGUGCCAUUAAACCAUUGCAUAAGAAGAGGACACAACAAGAUGUUAAAAGAGCUCUGGUCAAAGUUCAAACGAUGGAGAACCAUGUGGAAAACAUGGUGAAAUUAUUAUUGAAUGUAUUAAUGUGAGGAAGGUUACAGCCUCCUUUGUUUUCAUUUGCCACUAUUUUUAUUAUUCUUGGAGGAACUUAAGCUUCAGUGGACGUUUACGUCACAUGUUUCAUGUACAUCAUGAUGUAUUCAGUAAGUCUGUUUCCAUAUUGAUACACCAACUUUUGCACCUCAGCUAAGCAUAAAAUCUAUUUUGCGAUAUUGUGGUCUUUUCUUCUAUUACGGUAUUCUUUGAAUCUAAGUGUUUGCUGUUUUUGGUAAUCUCAGCAUCA